AACUAGGUUAUUAAACCUAGUUAAAAGUUUGGUUAAAAUAAAUAAGGAUAAGAAAUCUAGUUAUAUAAUGAAUAGGUUACAAACAUGAGGGGUGGUUUUUGAAUAAAUAGAAAGAUUAUAUAUAAAAUAAAAAUAAAAAAAAAACCCCAACUACCCAUAUCUGGGCGUGGAACGAUCGAACAGAGAGGAGAAAGAAAGGGGUGAAACCCUAAUUCAUGAGCAGACCUUCAAAUUGAAAGGGGAAUUGAAGCCUAGUUGAAUGCAUGAACUAAGAAUGAUGAUCCUCUAAGCAUACCCAACAUCAAGAACGUGUCAAGGAGAGGUCAAGCAUAGGAGGAUAACGGGUCAAGAUAAGGCAAGGUGACAAAUACACUUAUUGGAGUACUCGAGGUAAGUGAAUUUCGAUUCACUUUUUAGUAAGUUUAAUAGAUUUUAAUACUUAUGUUUACGAAACAUCAUGAAAGAACAUGUAAUAAUCAGAAGUACAAAGCCAAUAAUGCCUCAUUAUUGAAGAAGGUUGUAUUUAAGCCGAAAGUAAAUUGGUGGGUUUAAACGGGUCGAAUUUUAUGUGCAUAUGUUGCGUAAUGUAAUGAAAUUCGUUAUGGUUAUGACCUUGGGUAAGAAUUUUUAGUCAUUUAUGUAAGGGGAACAUUUCCCGGACCUUUAGGAACAAGUUUUAUACGAUUCGGUUGUCGGUUGGUGAAUGAACGGAUUGUUUCGUGUUAGUGUAGGAAAUUUUAUAAGUAUAUGUGUAUGGGAAUCCAAAAAGGCACGUGGGUUGAAUCAUAGAUUGUAUAUACUAUGUAAGGUUGUGAACGUGUCAUUCCGGCAUAAACCUACAUGUAAACGAAGCUUGUGUAUAUAUUCGUGAUUAAUUGAUUGUGCGUAGGAAGGAACAUUGGCAUGUAUGAAGGUACGCGUGUAUAUAUAUAAGUGUAUAUAUAUAUGUAUGUAUGUAUGAUAAUAAGUAUGUAGGUGUGAAUGUAUGUGUGAAUGAAUGUUCAAUGCUUAAGACAUAUGCAUGAACGUUAUCGAAGUGUUCGAGUAUUUAUGGUUACUAAUGAUGUGCGUUGAGUUGGAAUGUAAUGUAGGUACGGGAUCGUUGGCUUCAUGAAGAAAUGGAGCUGGAUUUGGAUAAGAGUAUUUAAGAAAGCGCUUGGACAAUUCCACGACUACUUUAUAGAAUGCUCUACGAAAUUCUAUUAUAUAGUUUAAUGUUGUAUGGUAUGUUAAUGACUAAUGGUUUGGUUGUACGUGGUGUCCACAGGUAUCGCUUGGGUUUUCUCUACAUUUAUUGAAGUGAUGCGGACUUAGUUCGAGUUGAGAGCAAGGAUUGUACGGGGAGAAUGGUCACAUAGUGUAACUCAUAUAGGUUUUGAAGUAUUAAUGUUAUAAAACGUUAUAAAUCCGUUUUAAUGAAUAUAUGGCAUUUCGCAUUUGAACCUUCAUGUGUUUGAUAUGUCUAUUAAAGAACGAAAUUUUUGGGCUCUCGUUUUCCGCUGCGUCGUAUUUUAAGUUAUUACACGUUAGCCUUACAGGGAAUUGUUCUUAUUACGAACGGGUCAUGCCCGAAUUUUGUUAAAUAAUAGUAUGAUAAUAUUACAUUUUGGAAUGUGUAAUUUGGGCGUAACAAGUUGUUAUCAGAGCCCUGGUUUGAGGGAAAUCAAGUACGAGGAGGCAAAUACUUGAACGCAAACCUGUGUGCUCUUGUGACGAGGAACCUGUACAAUCCAAGACUCGAUCAAGAUCUAAAGGUAGAAACAAAUGUAACUUUGAAUUUAAGUAUGUUUAUGAAGAAACUAACAUUAUGUUGUGUGUAAGAUAAGCAUAGUUGUUUGGAUGAGGAUGAUCCACGACUGUGGUCUCGGACCGACACCAAGGCAUGUAAUAAGACCAUUGCCCAGGUACGUAAAUUUUGCAUAAGGGUGCAUGUAAUGCUAAAAGUUAUCGAGUGAAGGAAAAUUUUAAUGAAAUAUAAUAAUAUAAUGGAAACGAAGUUAUGAAAAUGUUACACGUGCCGAAACCUAAUUCUUCGGACAUAAGGUGACGAUUACACGAAGACACGAAACUAGUAUGUGGAUUGUGUACCUGGCCAGUACACAAGAAACAUAAGACGUUCGUGAGACCGUAAUGAUUGUUACAGGUAUGUCCGAUAGGAUUUGGUAGCGGUUGGGUGUGUGGGUGAAAUGGGUAGUAAGACUCUCGGGAGGUUGAGAGUACUAUGUAAGGGUGAAAGGUAUAAGUGAUAAGAAUGAAAUAUUGAGUCCAUAAGAAAGUAUGGAUUGACAAUGUAUGAAUGCAAUGUUUGAAUCCGCGAGGCGGAUUCAAGGAUGAAAGAUAUGAAUGCAAUGCUUGAGUCCGCAAGACGGAUUCAAGGAUGAAAUAUAUGAAUGCAAUGCUUGAGUCCGCAAGACGGAUUCAAGGAUGAAAGAUGUGAAUGCAAUGCUUGAAUCCGCAAGAUGGAUUCAAGGAUGAAAGAUGUGAAUGCAAUGCUUGAAUCUGCGAAACGGAUUCAAAGAAUGAAAGAUACGAAUGAUGCAAAUCCCUUGCGGAUUUGGUUAUGCUAAAGAAGGUUAUGAUAAGCUAUGCAAAUCGACCGGUUCAAGUUGAACAAGUCGAGUAAGGAUAGGGUACCAUCCGUUUAGAACGGUUGGUCGUGAAUGCAAUAAUAAAUGUAUGAAGCUCAACCCGUUAUACGGAUAGAACGAAAUAUUUAUGUUGAACACAAUUAACUCGAUUUUACCGAGGCGUAAGUGGUAUGCUUGAAUCUCAUUAUGAGAAUAUAUGCCAUUACCCAUUUAAUUAGAUACUCGAGUGCGUAAAAGAAAUGAAAGUAUAUAAGCGAAUGGAACUAAAAUGUUGGUAUUGUAAGCGAAAUAAGUAUUAUGACUAACCUUUAAAACGAGAAGGGUAAGUAUUUGCAAGAAAACACUGGAACAGUGAAGCUAUGAGGUCGUAAGCAUGUUUGAAUUGAAAAAGAGUACAAACAUGUACUUCGAUACGCAUGUAUAUAAUAAGAAAUAAGUGGCAGUUGACCUUGAAAAGUCAAACUGCAGAAGCUGAGAAAUAAUUUGGUUUCAAACCAAGGGAGUGCUAGAGAAGAAAGGAAAUGUGUAGGGUAGUACACCAAAUGAGUUAAAGAAUUACGAAAUAAUGAUUAUGUGUUUACCCGUCAAGAACGGGUCAAACAAUAAGAAUGAUAUAUAUAUAUUAAGAAAUGGUCAUGUAUUGACCCGUUAUGAAUAGGUUUAACACACUAGUGCUUUAAAAAGAAUCUUGGAAGUAGUAAUAUGUAAACAAGGAGAAGUAAUAAACAUCAUGUUUAAAUGAACUUGAAUGAAAUGUGAUAAUCCCCAAUCUUAUAAUGAGUAUGGCAGAUAUCAUAGUGUGAUAAACCUAUCAAGGUCAGUGGAAGAAUGUUCAUAAGCGAAAGCUCGUCACACGGAUGAAUGUGGUCAAUACGAAACAUGGUAUGGAUGGUGACGAAGAGGACCGACUCGUUGCUGCAUGUUCAAGUACCGCACCAAGGUAGUAAGGUUAGCAAAUUAUUUAAUAUAUGAAUGUACGAUGCUCGAAUCCCUCAAACCUACGCUCUCGUGUAAGUGUGUUCGUUUCUAAGCGCCACGCAAGUAAGUGAUUUAAGGAUUUCGAGCUAUGCUUUUAGAUGAAAACGGAAAUGGGUUAUGGAUAAAUUACUAUUAUAACCUGGGUUGGGACGUUAUGGGAUGUUAUGGAAGGUUUCGGGACUGCCCGAGACCAUUUCAGGUUGGAAAAAGGACCCGGGAACAAAAAAUUUUGGUCAAACAGCGUCUGCACACCAGAGAGCCCGUCGGCGACGGCCUUUAUGCCGUCGGCGACGGCACCCCUCCACCCGACGCGCUAACUGUCUGUCUACGGGCAAUGUUCAGCGACGGGACCUUCCCGAGCCCGUCGGCGACGCACCAUGUGCCGUCGGCGACGGCCCUUAUCUGCUUAUGCUGAAAUUGUUUGUUUAUUAGGCUAAGGUCCUUAAUUCAGUUUUAGCAUUCAUUAAACACUAAGAACACCCCAGGUUGAUUACGAAUCUAGGAAAUUCAAGACAACUAUCGUGUUUUAAUGAUGAAUGUGUGGGAAGUUAUGUAUGCGAACAAAUGAAAUAAGUAAUACAUCUAGAAUGUUUGUAAAGAAAGAUCGGGUAAGUUUAUAAAAAUUUUACACUAUCAUUGAAAAAGUACCUCCAUAUGAAUAGGUAUGAUAUGUUUAAUGUGUACGAAUGAACGAGAUUGUAUGCGGAAAUGAAUAAAUUAAUGAUGAUUAGGGAUUGGCUUUCGCAAAGAAAUUUAAAAUCUUGAUAAGUAUAAAUAAUAUGUCAGGAUGCUAGUUUUAAAUUAUGGACUAUGGGAUGUGUGAUUAGCCAAUUCCUCAUAACAUAUUUAUGUAAGUCGUCCAAUGUAACUUGAAUGAGUGGACGAACGAAGAAUAAGACUAGACGGGUUGUAGAAGAAAAGAAAGAGGUUUCGGGACGAAACCUUCUUUAAGUGGGGUAGAAUUGUAACGCCCCAAAAUUCAAAUUAUCUAGUUGUUAAUAUGUUAGCACGUUUAAAAAAAAAAAGAAACAGAAUAACUAGGUUAUUAAACCUGGUUAAAAGUUUGGUUAAAAUAAAUAAGGAUAAGAAAUCUAGUUAUAUAAUGAAUAGGUUACAAACAUGAGGGGUGGUUUUUGAAUAAAUAGAAAGAUUAUAUAUAAAAUAAAAAUAAAAAAAAAACCCAACUACCCAUAUCUGGGCGUGGAACGAUCGAACAGAGAGGAGAAAGAAAGGGGUGAAACCCUAAUUCAUGAGCAGACCUUCAAAUUGAAAGGGGAAUUGAAGCCUAGUUGAAUGCAUGAACUAAGAAUAAUGAUCCUCUAAGCAUACCCAACAUCAAGAACGUGUCAAGGAGAGGUCAAGCAUAGGAGGAUAACGGGUCAAGAUAAGGCAAGGUGACAAAUACACUUAUUGGAGUACUCGAGGUAAGUGAAUUUCGAUUCACUUUUUAGUAAGUUUAAUAGAUUUUAAUACUUAUGUUUACGAAACAUCAUGAAAGAACAUGUAAUAAUCAGAAGUACAAAGCCAAUAAUGCCUCAUUAUUGAAGAAGGUUGUAUUUAAGCCGAAAGUAAAUUGGUGGGUUUAAACGGGUCGAAUUUUAUGUGCAUAUGUUGCGUAAUGUAAUGAAAUUCGUUAUGGUUAUGACCUUGGGUAAGAAUUUUUAGUCAUUUAUGUAAGGGGAACAUUUCCCGGACCUUUAGGAACAAGUUUUAUACGAUUCGGUUGUCGGUUGGUGAAUGAACGGAUUGUUUCGUGUUAGUGUAGGAAAUUUUAUAAGUAUAUGUGUAUGGGAAUCCAAAAAGGCACGUGGGUUGAAUCAUAGAUUGUCUAUACUAUGUAAGGUUGUGAACGUGUCAUUCCGGCAUAAACCUACAUGUAAACGAAGCUUGUGUAUAUAUUCGUGAUUAAUUGAUUGUGCGUAGGAAGGAACAUUGGCAUGUAUGAAGGUACGCGUGUAUAUAUAUAAGUGUAUAUAUAUAUAUGUAUGUAUGUAUGAUAAUAAGUAUGUAGGUGUGAAUGUAUGUGUGAAUGAAUGUUCAAUGCUUAAGACAUAUGCAUGAACGUUAUCGAAGUGUUCGAGUAUUUAUGGUUACUAAUGAUGUGCGUUGAGUUGGAAUGUAAUGUAGGUACGGGAUCGUUGGCUUCAUGAAGAAAUGGAGCUGGAUUUGGAUAAGAGUAUUUAAGAAAGCGCUUGGACAAUUCCACGACUACUUUAUAGAAUGCUCUACGAAAUUCUAUUAUAUAGUUUAAUGUUGUAUGGUAUGUUAAUGACUAAUGGUUUGGUUGUACGUGGUGUCCACAGGUAUCGCUUGGGUUUUCUCUACAUUUAUUGAAGUGAUGCGGACUUAGUUCGAGUUGAGAGCAAGGAUUGUACGAGGAGAAUGGUCACAUAGUGUAACUCAUAUAGGUUUUGAAGUAUUAAUGUUAUAAAACGUUAUAAAUCCGUUUUAAUGAAUAUAUGGCAUUUCGCAUUUGAACCUUCAUGUGUUUGAUAUGUCUAUUAAAGAACGAAAUUUUUGGGCU